AGUGAACGCUGGCGAUAGGCCUAACACAUGCAAGUCGAACGGCAGCACAGUAAGAGCUUGCUCUUACGGGUGGCGAGUGGCGGACGGGUGAGGAAUACAUCGGAAUCUACUUUUUCGUGGGGGAUAACGUAGGGAAACUUACGCUAAUACCGCAUACGACCUACGGGUGAAAGCAGGGGAUCUUCGGACCUUGCGCGAUUGAAUGAGCCGAUGUCGGAUUAGCUAGUUGGCGGGGUAAAGGCCCACCAAGGCGACGAUCCGUAGCUGGUCUGAGAGGAUGAUCAGCCACACUGGAACUGAGACACGGUCCAGACUCCUACGGGAGGCAGCAGUGGGGAAUAUUGGACAAUGGGCGCAAGCCUGAUCCAGCCAUACCGCGUGGGUGAAGAAGGCCUUCGGGUUGUAAAGCCCUUUUGUUGGGAAAGAAAAGCAGCAGGUUAAUACCCCGCUGUUCCGACGGUACCCAAAGAAUAAGCACCGGCUAACUUCGUG
rnacentral:rRNA from 1 species